rnacentral:rRNA from 1 species
CCGGACCGGCGCACGGGUGAGUAACACGUAUGCAACCUGGCCGUGACAGAUGGAUAACCGGGAGAAAUCCCGCCUAAUACAACAUAAUGCCGGGAGGGGACAUCCCCUGCCGGCCAAAGGGGCGACCCCGGUCACGGAUGGGCAUGCGGCGCAUUAGGUAGUUGGUGGGGCAACGGCCCACCAAGCCGACGAUGCGUAGGGGUUCUGAGAGGAAGGUCCCCCACAUUGGAACUGAGACACGGUCCAAACUCCUACGGGAGGCAGCAG